rnacentral:SRP_RNA from 1 species
GCCGGGCGCGGUGGCUCACGCCUGUAAUCCCAGCACUUUGGGAGGCCGAGGCAGGCGGAUCACCUGAGGCCAGGAGUUCAAGACCUGCCUGGCCAACAUGGUGAAACCCCGUCUCUA